AAGAAAAGACUGCCGAAUAGCAAGCUUGAUAGCCCCUUUAGCAACUUUAUAAUGAGCCAGGCAUCCAACAAUCUGUUUCAUUGCCUGAAACUUGGUCAGUGCAUGUGCAUCAGCUCCCUGAACUCAAUAUACAGCAUUAGAUCAUUCAAUUGAUGCAUCAUUAUGAUCUUGAAUCGAAGUCAGAUCGAUGAUAAAAAAAACCAACACACUUGCUAUUGUGGCAGAUUGAUGCUCUUGCACUUUUGCACAAAAGGAGAGCAGCUAUCUAAAUAGUUAGCCCAUGAAAGUUCCAUAACAAGAAAACCAGAUGGUAGUGCCAUGCUGCAAUUUCCAAUUUUUCCUUUCCUCACAGUACUAACUGGAAUCUAAAGUUUCUUCUUGAUAUAUGGUAUAGAAUUCAGCUUUUAUUAAUUAUCAAGGCCUUCUCCUAUUAUGGCUGCACAGCAAAGGAGCUACAGAAAGUUUAAAGUUCAAGCACCGCAAUGCUUUUUAUCAAGUCCCCACAUUAUCUACUCAAUAGAUACAUCAGAUUCGUGUCAUCAAGUGACAAUAGCAAAACAAAAGGAGAUACCUGCAUAAGCAGAGGAUUAUGAACAGCUUAUGAAGAAGAUUAAUGAUGAAAUGUGGUGCAUAUAUAUGGUUCAAGAUGAAUGGUGAUUGUUGUAUUCUUAACGAAGGUCUUUUUUUACUUCAACAAGCUUGUGUGGAAACGAACCAUCGCUACUCCUCACAAUGGCAUGUUCCUACUCUUCAUUCUCAUGAAGCAAGUCAAAUCCAGCACCAAUCAACCACCGCAACUCCACUUGCUCCGUUAGCCAUUGGAUUUCAUUUCCUUUCAGAGUCAGAGCUAAUCAACAACUCGAUCAGGUUUUCUUCUUCUUCUUCUUCCAUGACAUUAAAAUGGAAUGUGUGAGAGUGCAAUGUGCGUCCUGUGCUGUUCAUUCAACAGGGUUUUCGAGAAUCCUUCAAGGGUGAGUGUCUCAGAGUCUACAACUAUGUUCAGGAGUUUGCUGGCAUGUUUCUACAUUAGGUUGAAUCAAACAUGCAGGGCCUAGCUUAUGCAUAUUGUAGAAGCCUCUCAUUGGGUUGAAUUCAAUCGCCUCAUCCUGAUAUCUGUCUCAGAGCUGUGACUUUUCCAUGUAUAGGUUCUAAAAUGGUACAUUAUUGAGGGGGAUGACCACCUACCAGCCUGUUGCAUUGUUUUAAAGAAGAAAUAUUUUUUAAAAAAAAACCCCAACUAAUACUUCGUUAUUUAGGCUUCUAAACUUGUGAUUGAAGGACAAGAUUUUGAUUAUUGAUGAGCAACUAUUUUGGUCGUUGGAGCAGGUCUAUUUUGUUGAAAAUUCAUUACCCCAACUGAAACCUCCUUGUCUGAGGGAGGAAGAGCCCCACUUUACAUUUAUUCUACAGCAACUUAUUGUCUUCCACUCUGUUUUUGGAUAUGUUUUUUAAAUAAUUAUGUGGUUAUAAAAAAAACAUAUGUUAAGUUUAUCUUAAAAUACAAUAAAAACUUAAAUUUAUUUAUUUAUUUUUAAAGCUACUGCAGCGUCACAAAGACCUGUUUUAUUUUCGUAGUUGAAUUAUAUAUUUUUUUAAAAUAUUUGUUUUUUUAAUUUAAAUUAUUUUUUUAUAUUAUUGAAUGGUUUUGAUAUACUAAUAUCAAAAAUAAAUUUUAAUAAACAAAAAUUAUUAUUAUAAUAUAUUAUCAAACAAAAUUAUUUUAAAAAUAACUCCGAUUAUAAUCUAAAACAAGCUAAAAUUUUGAUAUCUCAGACCGGCCAAAUACAUAUAAUUAAAAUGGAAAGUCAUGGUCUUGACUCUUAAGAUUCUUGUUAAAAAAAUAUUCAAAAGCAUAUUCUGAAAAAAAUUGAUUUUUUUCAAAUUAAAUUUUUGAGAUUUAUAUAAUAACAUCAAAAAUAAUUUUAAAAUAAAAUAAUAUUAUUUUAAUAUAUUUUUAAAUAAAAAAAUAUUUUAAAAAUCAAUCACAAACUUAACGUAAGAAUGGUUGGUAAGAAAGUGUGGGGCCCGCAACACUGACAGCACCUUUUUUGUUCUUUUUCUACGUCAGCUUUGAAAUUUGAAUGACAGAGAUGGCUCACCUUCAGUUAAGUGACAGUACCAUCAGGAUGAAUUAUUGUAUAUAUUAUGUCCUUUAUGCUUUCUUUUUUUGUUAUAAAAAAAAAAUCAAACCUUCAGUUUAUAAAAAAAAAAAUAGAAUUGAGUUAAUUAAUCUGGAUCAGAUUAAUCAAAUUAUGUGUUAAUUUAUUGUAUUAUUUGAUUUUGAUUAGAUUAAUUAUUAAUAUGAUUAAAAACUAAAUCCAUUAUAAAUUAAAUUUUAAACCAAUAAUAACUUGAUCAACAAAUAAGUUUAAUAAUUAUACUCAAAACUUUUUAAUUAGAGAAUAAAUAUGAAUACUAAUUAAAUUACAACUCCUUGACUCGUUUAUAAACAUAGCCUUUCUUGAUUGAUUCAGUAGAACUUCAUUUCAGGUUCUUGCAGGUUCUCUCCUCUCUUUCUCUCCCACACACAAAACAGACAUGGACUGCGUUGUUUUGCUUCCUGUUCUUCAUAAGUAACAACUUAAGUUUAUUGGUGUGGUAUAUAUCUCCACUUUGAAAUUUAUAAAUAUUCAGUAACGUUUUUGCUUGACAAAGCAAAUAGAUGCCAAAUUUUUUGUUCCUUCUAGUAUUUGGAUGAUCUUUGCAAUGACCGACUCAUUUCUUCAAUCUAUAUAUGCUGGAAGCAGAUAAUAUUUGUUCGACUUGUUUUAAGCUGAGCAUGCCCUUUUCUUUUCUUUUGAAGCAGUGAAAUUAAUGGUCCGGAUAUGAUUCUUAGAAUUUCUUGUAUUUCUCAGAAAUUUAUAAUCAUAGCCUUUCUUGAUUGAUUCAAACCUGAUUUUCUCUGUGUUAUGAUCUCUGUUAAUGUUGGUAAAAUGUGAAACUUUUUUGUGGAUUUGAUCUUUGAAAAAUGAAAAAUCUUGGGGAUAAAUUAUGGAAGUUCAUCGUCAAUUUUGUAACAAUCAAAUUUCUCUGGGCUGUCAUCAACGUGACUAAAUUUUUCUCUGGUUUUUAAGUACAGUCUCUGGAUUUUUUUCUUCUUCUAAUCUUUGCAGGGAUGCAGAAGGAAAUUAAAGCGGCUUUGCUUUUUGGGUUGGUGGUAUGGGUAUAUCAGGCAACCAACCCUCCACCUCCAAAGAUUUGCGGUACCCCAGGCGGCCCGCCUAUUACAGCACCUAGAAUAAAAUUGAGGGAUGGGAGGUAUUUGGCCUACAAGGAGCAUGGUGUCUCUAGAGAAACUGCCAAAUAUAAGAUCAUAUAUGUUCAUGGCUUUGCCUCUAUGAGACAUAAUACAAUGAGCGUGGAAAAACUCUCUCCGGUAUUCCAAUAUUUCUAAAUCUUUGUGUUUAGCCCUUUUAAAGUUCCAUUAGUCAAGAGAUUGUAUCAUUUUUGUUUGUCAGGAAGUUGUUGAGGAGCUGGGAUUCCACCUUGUGUCCUUCGACCGGCCGGGUUAUGGAGAAAGUGAUCCACAUCCAAAGCGAACUCCGGAGAGUAUAGCUUUAGAUAUAGAAGAGCUUGCGGAUCAUUUAGAAUUUGGAUCCAGAUUUUAUGUCAUGGGGUUUUCUAUGGGAGGUCAAGUGAUCUGGGGCUGCCUCAAGUACAUCCCUCACAGGUGAGACUGUUUUCUUGCUGUUAUGACGACAAUUGUGCUUAUCUGGAGGAUGUUCUGCCUGCUGUUUAAGAUCUGGGAUAAAGCAUGAACAUCAUCCAAUAAUUCAAAAAUAUAACACUAAUUGCGCCUGUUGUCAACUACUGGUGGCCUGGCUUUCCUGCCAACUUAUCAACAGAAGCCUACUACUUACAGCUACCUCAGGACCAGUGGACAUUGCGUGUUGCUCACCAUGCUCCAUGGCUCACCUAUUGGUGGAACACUCAGAAAUGGUUUCCUGCAUCGGCAGUUGCAGCCCGUAAACCUGAAGUUUUCUCCCGUCAGGAUUUAGAAGUACUCCUUUCCAUGGUUACAGAUGGAAGAAUGAACAUGGUACUUCGUUUUCUUUCUCUCUUUCCACAUUACAAGGAAAUGAACCAUAAAUCAAGUUUAUCCUGACAUAUUUUGUGUCUCUGAAACUGGAGGCAAGAAGAUAUUGCUAGUGAGAAAGUUAUCAUCGCAUACAUAAUUUUUGCAGUGUACAUAGAACCAGUCCGAGAGGCUUUGAUCUUUUAACCAGGAGAGAACAGUAACUGGCCGGAAUUCUAGUUUUACAGGGGCUGCCUUAGAACCUUUUGUUUUUUGGAACUGGCUUGUGGAAAGAUAAGACACUGCAGAACUUCCAAUUUUCCUUUUGAUAUAUUAGAAGCAGAAGAGUUUUUCGAACCAGAAGUUCUAGAGAUCCAGUUAGAAAUUGAUUUAGAACAACAAAUUAAUGAUAUUUGACUCUACUCUAAGAAAUAUUAUUGGUCACAUGCUACUUGAUCCUUAGAAGUGCUUAUGAAUCUUCCCGCCUGAUUUGGAAUCUCUCCUUUCAUUUUAUGCAGCCACAAACAAUGCAGCAAGGAAAAUUUGAAACCAUACAUCGAGACAUGAUGAUUGGGUUUGGGAAGUGGGAAUUCGAUCCCAUGGAUCUUGAAAAUCCCUUUCCUGACAAUGAAGGCUCGGUUCAUCUAUGGCAGGGUGAUGAAGAUAAGAUGGUGCCUGUUAGCUUGCAACGAUAUAUUACCCAAAGACUUCCCUGGAUAAACUACCAUGAGAUAUCUGGCUCUGGACACAUGUUCCCUUACAUCCCAGAGACAUGCGAAGCGAUUAUAAAGGCUCUUUUGCUGGAAAAAAACUAGCCCUCCUUCGAGCUUAGUUGGCGUCAGCAUUUGUUUGCCUUUCUUCAUAGGUUCAUGGCACUGUAUCCUUGUUCUAUUCUUAGUUUCAAACAAUAUUGCAAAUAGAUUGGAUUACGACCCUAGUUCUAUUCUCAAAGUUUGCUACCAGGGUUCACAGUUUUAACCGAGCCCAUAUCCGCCCAAACAGAUAUUUCAUGGAUAGUUAUUGAUCGCUGCGGCAGGUUUGGAUAAAACCCUAAAGGACAAAGUUAGGUUUCGGGCAAGUAAUGAAUACUACCCUACUAGACUUGAAACCUAACCCAUACCCGACUCAAAAUUUUAUGGUAUAUUAUAUAUAUUUAUGUCCGCAUAGUUGAUGAAAAUAUCAUUCUUGUUAUUAACUAUUGUUCGGAUAAUAAAUUUCAAAACGAAUUCUCAAAAUCAAAUCGGAUCGGGUUUAUAUCUCGACAAUCUAGGAUAUGGUGACGUUCAGCAAGAACUGUGUCAGGCUGCUUCAGUAGAACUUUCCAUGUUUUCAUGCAUGUUCUUGUUUUUCAUGAGCUAGCACUAAUAUUUAUUUCGUUUAUAUGAUCUUGCAGCAAUAAUCUUUCGUUUUCUUUUAUCAUAACAAGCAAAGCCACAAAAUAUCCAGAACCACUAUCAACAGAACUCUAUUAGCAUAAGGUACAUAAAGUGAAGGCAUCAACAUCUUCUUUCAUGAUUUCCAAAAAGCCCCACAAACCAAAAUACCAGUCUUUGACCUUUAAGAUAAGAUAAACAAAUAAAAAAAACGUACUAUUGCCUCUGGUGCUCUCACCAUUGCUGCUACUGGACUGGUGGACACAUGGCUACUCCUCCUUUUGAAGAAGUCAUAUAUAGUGGUUUUUGUUGCCUUCUACGUUUUUAUUAUUGUUUGCUCACUCUACUACUGUCUCUUACUCAUGUGGCUUGAUUUUCUUGGGAGGGGUUAGCUGGGAAGCAGAGAGAGUAAGAGAUCGGAAGCCAUAGAGAUUGAGAUACAAAGAGAUUUAGAGAGAGAGAGAGAGAGAGAGAGAGAUCAGGGGGGUUGAGAAGAAAGGAAACUUUAAUAUUUA
rnacentral:lncRNA from 1 species